rnacentral:rRNA from 1 species
GAUGAACGCUGGCGGCGUGCCUAAUACAUGCAAGUCGAGCGAACAGAUGAGGAGCUUGCUCCUCUGACGUUAGCGGCGGACGGGUGAGUAACACGUGGAUAACCUACCUAUAAGACUGGGAUAACUUCGGGAAACCGGAGCUAAUACCGGAUAAUAUAUUGAACCGCAUGGUUCAAUAGUGAAAGGCGGUUUUGCUGUCACUUAUAGAUGGAUCCGCGCCGCAUUAGCUAGUUGGUAAGGUAACGGCUUACCAAGGCAACGAUGCGUAGCCGACCUGAGAGGGUGAUCGGCCACACUGGAACUGAGACACGGUCCAGACUCCUACGGGAGGCAGCAGUAGGGAAUCUUCCGCAAUGGGCGAAAGCCUGACGGAGCAACGCCGCGUGAGUGAUGAAGGUCUUCGGAUCGUAAAACUCUGUUAUUAGGGAAGAACAAAUGUGUAAGUAACUAUGCACGUCUUGACGGUACCUAAUCAGAAAGCCACGGCUAACUACGG